ensembl:lncRNA
GAUUGUUGUUGCUGUUUAGUUGCUAAGUUAUCUCUGACUCUUUUCAACCCCACGGACUGCACUGCAGCCUGCCAGGCUCCUCUGUCCAUGGAAUUUCCCAGGCAGAUUUUUUUACUCAUGAGCCGCCAGGGAAACCAUAUCCCUCCUUAAUGGGACACAAAGGAUGCAGCAGAUGGGAGUUGGAUGUUUUCCUGCCCCCAGGUAUAAGUGCUGAUAAAAGUUUCCAAGAAACAAGCAAUAUCCCUCCAUUUCUAAAACUCUGUUGGAGAAGAGAAGCUAAGCCAGAAGCUAUUUCUUCAGAGAGAUACAACUGAUGAAUCUUUGACAAUACUACUCAUGGGGGGGAAAGUAAAUAUGAAUAAACAAUAUUAAGAAUAG